rnacentral:lncRNA from 1 species
AGCCUGCAGUGGUCACGUGGUACAAGUCGUAGCUCUCAGAAAACUCCCAGUUCAUGAGUUGUCAUUAGGAGUUCUACGAGGACGUGAACGCUUUUUAGAAGUUGGAAUCUCGUAAUUACGGGAAUUCCGAUAUGGCGUGAACGCAGCAUUAGUUAAUCACUUGAUGGGUGUUUAUAUUCGCUUAACCAAAAUCAAAACAAGCAAACUACACAGUGCAACAGACGAGUGGGAAAUCAAAGACUGGAAUGCUGGGAGAACGCUGGGGAAACUGACAAAGGGGUGAGCUCUGGAAAGGAGGACGGAUACUUCCUGUUCCUGCUGGAGUGACCUGCAGGUCUGAGGAGGAGUGAGGGAGAGGAAGGCAGAGAAAGCGAUACCCUGUGAAACCUGCUGGUGUAAACUUACCUCUGAUUGGGACUCACUGAUGUAAUGGACAAACAAGCACAAAAUGUGUCGAUACCCACAUCAAAUCUCCCAGGUUUCUUUUACAGUGAUUUGCGUACAGCUUCACCCUUGGCCAGAGUGCAGUUGUGAAACUGGAAGUGACAGUGCCAGGUUCCCUGCUGAACUUGGCUGAGGUCAGUGUCUGGUCAAAUGGAGUCGGGCCUGUGCGUCUGUGGGGGUGCAGAUGAAGUGGUCAGCGGU